UUUGACCUCUCCCUAAAGGUUCUGAGCUGUCUCUUAUACAUGUGUCGCGUAUUGACAGAUGACCCAUCCAAAGGACAUGGCUGCUGGGGAUGCCCCAAUCAAACAUACAUCUUUUUAAAUAUUGACUGGUCUCCCAUAAUGUGGGUKGAACGAAGUCUUUUAAUAUGGCCGUUACAGGUGUCUGUMGCAGUUAUCUGUCUUUUUGAAACUAUUCUAUUGACUUACCUGAGUUACAAGG